rnacentral:lncRNA from 1 species
AAAGAUCGCUUUCCGAGAUCUUCUUCAACCCAUGGCCAUGGAGAGCCAACUCCUAGCAUCUGUCUCCAGCAAAUUUCACCUGCAAGAUCUCCCUCGCAUGAACAUAAUAUUGCAGAAGAAUUAGGAAAGACUCGACUAUACAGUAACUUACUUGGUGCCGAAGAUCUGAAUCACAUGGAGGAUCGAGCAUGAGGCAUGAAGCGUGCUAAGGCAGAAUGGAGCAUCUCCAUGUGACCUUAAACCAACCAAAUUUACUCUCAAAAUUCCGCUGAGACAAGAAAGAAAGAGGAGAAGAAACCCUGAAUAAACCCAAAGAAAGAAGCCCAAAACAUUAUAAAAGAAGAAACAGUCAUGGUGCCAACAAGACGCAAUGGAUCUCUCUCAGGCAACACAAUUAAACGAAAAAAAGCAGCGUACAAGAUUAUAGUUGCGAGAUGAUUGUGGUUAUUAAUGUUGCUGAUACCACACUGUAGAACAGUAACGACUUUGCCUUGACAUGGAGCAGUUUGAGCUUACCUUCAAGUGGGCCAGCUUAUGCCGAGUUCCGCUCUUGAACUUUUAGCCUCAGUUUCCUUCACCAGAGCAAGCGUGAAACCGGCAUUGAUGGCUCAAGUAUUUUACUGGGUAUAUUAGAAAUAGUUUUGCACCUGCAAAAUCGUCCAUUUGAUGCUGAAAAUCCCGAGGAGGUACAGAAAAAAUGCAGAUUUGAUCUCUUCCAGUCCAUGAACAACGAAUUGGCGUCAUCUCAUUCAAGGAAAAUUCAGACAUGAGUUUGUUGUUGUUGGAGUCUAUUAACCGUCUACCUGCACUGGAAACCCAACAGUAUGCACAGGUUGAUAUUCUAGUAAAAAAUGGUGCAAUACAAUGAAAGGAAAAAAGUAAUUGAUCGUAACUUUGAAAAAAACAAGGCACUGUCUCAACUGGAAAAGUUUCCUGCUUUUAAGAGGAGACAAGUUCACUCUAAGAGGUUGGUCAAGUCAGCAGCGGGGGAAAGGUGAGGGGGGGGAUGGGGCGCUAGAUUUAGGAAGUGCCUAAUUCAACCGUGCCUCAGAUUUUUCAAUCCAGAGACCUCUAAGCUAAUUAUACCCUUCACUGAUCCUUAAGCAAAACAAAAUGCUUGAGGCUACCAACACCAACUUGUGCCAUAUUCACCAAUAUGUCAAUGCUUGACCUGGCAGUCCAAAUUAAAUUGAUGAAGGCAGAUAAUUCAAAGUCGCAACAGCUCAGGGUCCAGGUGACAAUCCAAUUAAAGUACAAUAAUCAAAGCAAGGAGUCACCAAAGGCAGAGGAAACUGAAAAGAACUGGAAAAACAAAAUAAUGCUAACUCACCCAUACCAUUAUUUACAGUCAGUCUUCUCUCCUCCUGCUGCUUCGAUUGAAUUGUCCAGUGAUUCUCUCCUUCAGCUCCAACUUCUAUUUCCUUUAAAGAAUGCAAUAAAUUGCAUCUUCAAAGCCAAAG